UACAGAGGUCCCAAGCGUUGUUCGGAUUUACUGGGCUUAAAGGGCGCGUAGGCGGCCGUCCGAGUCCGGGGUGAAAUCUUUCGGCCUAACCGGAAAAGGGCCCUGGAUACUGGACGGCUCGAGGGGGGUAGGGGCAAGCGGAACUUCCGGUGGAGCGGUGAAAUGCGUUGAUAUCGGAAGGAACGCCGGCGGCGAAAGCGGCUUGCUGGACCCCUCCUGACGCUGAGGCGCGAAAGCCAGGGGAGCGAACGGG
rnacentral:rRNA from 1 species